rnacentral:piRNA from 1 species
UCCUCGAGGCCAAAACCCUCUUUAUUUAG